CCUCCAUCACAGCAUGGAUGUCCUGGUGCUGUUGCUAUGCCUGGUGACAUUUCCAAGCUGUGUCCUGUCCCAGGUGCAGCUGAAGGAGUCAGGACCUGGCCUUGUGCAGCCCUCACAGACCCUGUCCCUCACCUGCACUGUCUCUGGGUUCUCAUUAACCAGCUAUAAUGUACACUGGGUUCGACAGCCUCCAGGAAAGGGUCUGGAGUGGAUGGGAGUAAUCUGGAGUGGUGGAAACACAGAUUACAAUUCAGCUCUCAAACCCCGACUGAGCAUCAGCAGGGACACCUCCAAGAGCCAAGUUUUCUUAACAAUGAACAGUCUGCAAACUGAAGACACAGGCAUUUACUAUUGUAACAGAAACACAGUGAGGGAAGUCCAUUGUGAACUUACACAAAAACUUCUCUACAUGGAUGGUAAAGACCAGUAG